rnacentral:lncRNA from 1 species
ACCACCGUCCCAGGGCCACUCAGGAAAGAUGCCCCAAAAUUUUCUCCCGGGUCCCAAGUGCUGGGGACAUGUGACUGCCACACUGGGCUCCAGACAGUCUCCCUAAACAGAGGCAGAUAUACACACACAUACACACGCACACACACACAUCCUUGCAAUACGAUUAUCACCGUUACUGUUCACAGCUCCCACCUACCGAGCGCUCACCAUGUGCCAAGCGCCAGGCGCCUCGCGUGCUCUCUCUCUCAUUCACACACACACACACACACACGCACACCGAUACUCACGUACACAUGCACGCACGCACGCGCGCACUCAUACACGCACACACUCACGUGCACACACGCACACCCAUACACGCGCGCGGGCGCGCACCUAUUCACGCGCACACACGCACGCACAGGCGCACGGCAGCGGCAGCACCCAGGUCCCUACACGCUGCCAGGGCCGAUCCCGGACACCUCCCACCUUCUUCCCGGGACCAGGGCCAGGAAGUGCCCGCGUCCGGCGGGGCGCCCCUUCCCUGCCGGGCGCCGAGUGCCCUCCCGGAGCAGCCCCGCACAGCCCCGCGCCCCCGCCCCGCCCGCGGCCGCCCGGCAGGACCGCUCCUACCUCGGGCCCUUUGUCCUCCGGCCGCCGCGGCCCCGCUCCCGAGCGCCCGCCGCCGACAGAGGCCAGCCCAGCCUCCAGGCUGCGCUCGCGGCCGCAGCGCCAGGCCCCGCAACCGGCCCUGGCCCCGGCCCGGGCCACGGCGUGGGGCGCUCGGCAAAGCCCGGAUCUCCGGAGCCGCGGCCGGCGCGGAGGACUCGACCCCUGACACCGGCCGCCCCCUGCGGUCCACUUCUCCGGGUCUUCGGGGCGGCCGCGGAGGAGGGCCGGGCGGUGGGCUUGGCCGCCCCAGGACCUCCGCCAGGGAAGGGUUGGGGGAGGGCGGGGGGCCGGGACCCCCAGCGGCGGCCGGCGAUGGAUGGACGUGACAGGGACAGAGAGGAGCCCCCGCGCCCUCCCACCCGGGUUCGCGCUCCAGGCCUGGAACCCCAGUCUUACCCUGUCCCGCCCGCCCUCCUCCCCAAUAAAGACGCGCUCCCCCAUCCCGUGCUCGGCUCCCCGCACCCCAGGGAAGGUCGCCGUGCUGGGCCGCCCCGCCCGCUGACCCUGCCCUGGCGGCUGCCGGGUCCUUCCCGCGCCCACCUGCGUGGGUUCCGAAAGGUGGAAGGAACCUCGCAUCUGGGGUCAGUGCGCUGUCUGCGCUCAGCAGUGUCUCCGUCCUCCCUCCUCUUCACGGGGCCGCCCUCCCCGCAGCGGCCCCGUCCCACCCCCGGGCCCAGGCACCCCGACAUUCCCGCGGGGCCACACUGGACGCCCCUUCCGGUGACAGGGCACUUAGCGGGGAAGAAAAUCUGGACAGAGGUUGGGAGACCCCUUGGAGGACCGAGGUCAUUUUGUCGCUUGGGAACGCAGGUGCCCAGACGGGACACGGCAAGGCUGUGA